UACGUAGGUGGCGAGCGUUGUCCGGAUUUACUGGGCGUAAAGCGCAAGCAGGCGGUCUGUUAAGUUUGACGUAAAAUCUCCUGGCUUAACUGGGAGGGGUCGUUGGAGACUGGCAGACUUGAGGCGAUGAGAGGGGCAUGGAAUUCCCGGUGUAGUGGUGGAAUGCGUAGAGAUCGGGAGGAACACCAGAGGCGAAAGCGGUGCCCUGGCAUUGGCCUGACGCUGAGAUGCGAAAGCGUGGGGAGCGAACGGG
rnacentral:rRNA from 1 species